rnacentral:lncRNA from 1 species
UCGGAUUGUACCUUAUAAUCAAAGUUGAUAUAUAUAUAUAUAUAUAUAUGUAUAUAUAUACAACCGAAUUCUGCAGAAAUAGUAUAUGUGUGAGCUCAUAUAUGGACUAAUUCAUUCGUGUUUCUUCUCAUUCAGUGUUCAAUGGUUGCCUCUUUGGCGUUGUGUACGUUGUUGAUUACUCACGCGAGCUUAGAUGCUUGAAGUGAUUACCUGAAGAGGAUGCUCAAGGACUAUUAGUAGACCAUCUGUCUUCGUUUACAUAAACGGCGUAUGUUAGACUUUCCCUCAAGUAUCGUUUCGUACCUCUUCUGUAAGCGAUAAUGAGGAGCUAUAGUUGCCGUCUUCGGUGGCUGAGGCCAUGUGCCGCAAUGGCAAACACACGAGAUUUUCGAGUUGUGUCAGAGAGGACGUCAUACCGGGUACCGCUGAGAGGUCAAGUCCAUAUAAGAGAGUAUGUCGAUCGAUGGCGCUGCAGCACGGACUACGGCCGCGUUACAGAGAGGCUUUAGAUGCGAGGAAGCUUUUAACGCUAGUAGCGAUGAGCGACGUUCGGCUCCGGGAUGGUCAAACAAGGAUUCUGUCCGCGUACUUCUCCGUCGGAGGGUGUUCUCCGUUUCCCGAAACUCCUUUACCUCGCAACAUCCCCGCAAGCCCCACGUCAUCCCAAUGCAGUGCUCUGCUCUCUGUAGAUCGAUGUUGAAGCGGGUCCUUAGAGUUGAUAAGUACUCAGCUCAGAUAAACUUCAUCUAAACACAAAAACCCCCAAAUCGCAUCAGUUGGAAGAAAUUUGAAUAAAUCAAGACCACUUGACUGAUACAUAGCUCGCAUCUGACAACAAAAAGAGGAACAGCGUCGACAUCCAGUUACUGCAGGAAAUUACGACCUGCAAGAACGGGGUAGUGGUCAAAAAAGCCAUGACAAAGAUUGUGUGAUGGCAAAGGCACAUAUUCAUAGCGGUUCUGUCUGCUUGCUCGGUGCCGAUACAAGCUAUCGAAUCCAUACAACGUGAUCAGCAACGCCAGGGUCGCAACGUGCGAAGUCCUGCGAUAUCGGCGGCUCUGCGUUAGGUUAUGCACUGCUCGUCUGCAAUCGUUCACAGCCUUUGGAAGCUUCGAACGUCCAUUAAAAGUCGCAUUUGAAUAGCGUGGAACAGCUACUCGAUAGCAAAUUGGCGGCCGAAGCGUGAGACAAGCGGACGUCGUCGACUCUACGUGUCCUGUUCAACACGAAUGAAUUAGACCCACUGUCCUGCAAUCGGUGUUCUAUUAUUUGUCAAUGUCCGAUAUGUAAUUAUUGGGUGUGCUUAUGCGUCCAGUCUGAAGUGCCCGACUAAAAAAUACUCUGAUUAAUCAGCUGUCAUCAAUACCGUUGUUGCUAUUGUCGAGAUGCUAAUAGCAACUCACAGGUAUUGGUCAUGAAGUGUGUUUCACAGUCCCCUGCCACGUGGUGAACGAUGUGAAGGUUCGUUACAUGCUACCAUGACCGUUUACAUGUACUUUUACUGUCGCCGUGAUAGGGUAUAGUCAAUAUUCAUGUUAUAUAAUACUACUGCAGUUGGCGUCGCAGCGCUUACAAAUGUUCGUAGGAAAAAAACAAAUUUAGCUGGAAGAUACAUUUGGCUAUUGAAGAUGCUGUGAAUUUUCAGUUUGCUCGUGAUCGUUGACGCAAGAUAUCGCAGCGUAGAAAUUACGAUAGGCAGAUGCUGUGUUUGGAAAAUAACGUUUCGGCUCCAUUCUUCAUCGUUAUCUAUUUAAGCCAAAUCAAUUAUUUCGUUAGAAAAGCUUUUACCUCGUACCAGAUGGUAGUUUUCGAUCACAGGAAAUUAUAAUAAUAGAGUUGUUUAAACGAAUAUGAACCUGUCAGGUUAACCAGCUGUCUAUAGUUAGCUCCUCUCUUUUUUUCAUCUUAUAUCGCUUUAGGCAUCAUUACAUGUCGUGCAUUAAUUACGAUCAAGCGCUAUAGAUGCCAUGGCCAGGGGCAAAAUCGACUGAAACGCGUUCUCAAAGGGCAUGCUAUAAAUUGACCUGCCAUAGUAUCAUUUCUCAAGCCGACCGCCUCUCGAAGCGUCUAUUAUACCGACGUGUACACAGAUUUACCUACGAUAGCAUUUACAACGGCUAGCGGCUUACAUCAUAAAACGGUGUAGCAGGUUUCUUAAUUUCCCUAAUAAAUUCCAUUUGGAGAGGCAUACAAUUGUUCCUGAAGGUCAUAUGCUGUAAUUGAACGCUAUUAAUUGGAUCUGUUAAACUCAGUGAAUACAGUUGGCAACGGAAGAAGGUAGAACCGUGCGAUUUUAAGUGUACGUUUUAAGUCAGCUAUGUUCGGAUUUCCGCUAUCUGAAUGUUAUUGUCUUUAGUAUUUGGCCUCUUCUUCGACCUGGACUAGCUGAUAGAUUCCGGCUCUAAUGUUCUUUCGGUCCUACUACGAAAGUCAUGAUGAGCCCGCUUGGCCCCGUAGCCACGUAAUCUCCGUACGUCUUUCUGACACUGCAAACACCUUUCCUUUCGAAAUGAAGCCUUUAACGACUUGAGGUCUCGUGGCCAUCAUACUCGCUAUGUAGAUAGGUACUUUCUUGUGUAUGUUAGGAAUUUGUAAGCUGGUCUAGGCGAAUACGAGUGAUUGUAGCCCGUUUAUGAAAUUUCAGUCGUUAGAUGCUAAGAGCGUUAGUCAGCCGCUUAUUUCUAUUACCUCAAGUUGCGCCUGAUCAGUAUCAACUAGGAGCCAUAUUGGCACAUGAGCUAGUCAAGAAAGCGCGGGUUUUCCUAGUUCAAUAGCAAGAUAUUAUUUCCUUUGAUGGGGUGUAAAAUUUGCCCUUACAUCACGACUUCACCCAGAUAAUAGAACAGCCAUAUUUUACCGGUCCGCGGAGCCAACUACAGCAAAUGUCAGACGACUCUCUCUGUAGUUCACGGUGAUUCAAUAUCAGAUCAUACACCUUUUAAAUUUUUUUAAAUAUUUAGCUACUCUCCUAUUAAAUAACUCUAACACAUUUAUAAAUGUGAGCACAAAAGAGUAGGUAUAUGUGAAACACAGUUGCUUUGAAAAAGCACACGAACUCCUUUCUUGAAGCUGGAUGUGCGAAAUCUCAGGUUAAUAUUAGAGCUAUUAACAAUAUGAAACCAGCCGCUACAAUAUAUUCUGGUGCCUUUUGCAAAAGACGCACUAUCCACUGGUUCUAACCUGAGUAAGCAGUACUACAUGUAUGUACGUGCAUAUAUUGACACUGUUGAUUAUAAAUACACCUAUACAUAUAAAAUCCCAUGGGCAGUGGAGCAUGUAUGAAAAUACGGGAAAAACGACAGAAAUAGCCAUGCGGUUGGUAGUGCGUCUUUUUUGUUUGAGUGGUGCUCAAGUUAUGAAUCUAUCGUUCCCCUAGCACAAAUCCUCAUUUACGAGCAAGCUACAGAUUAACUAUUAGCUUUUUAAAGCAGCCGUCCUUCCCCGCGCACUGUAGCAAACAGUCUCCCUGUUAUGCCCCUUACGAACGCGCUAUUGCUACGACUUGCCCACUUCAGCCCAUUGUGGUGCAAAUUUAGUACACAAAAAGAAUUUGGUGUUAUAACCCAGUGGAAAAUAAACGGCUGGAAUAUGGACGGGCCCGGCUUGAUUGGACCGUCCGUCUUUAGGACCUGACAAACGGAGGGGACCAUCGAACAACUUAUGACUAGGCAAGUUACUCACUGUGUCGAGUAGCUGGGGAUACCGUACUGGGCCACCGUCAAACUCUCCCACUGUCGACCGUCGCUAAACGUAGCGUUGACACUAUGCUCACGUCGCGAUUUUAAGUUCACACAAGGCCGCACAUAAUGCGGCUUCAUAUCGACGUACACAUUGGUGCUAGUUGAGCACAAUUUCGUCCACGGGCCGUUCGUUAGAGAAAGACGCCUCUUCUGCAAAGGAUUAUAUUGGAAUAACUGGCAUGUAUUCAAGAAUUUACUGCGGUGUAGUGUUAAAUUGGCAGCCUGCCACACAGACGUGGUGGAUAUAACGACUGGCAAAUACCCACUAAAGAUCGACGUCAAAUGCACACCGCAGUGUAGGAUUAUCUGUUAGCGCGUGUAUUCGUUAUUGUGUACAUUGGCUUGCAGAAUCGUCAAGUGUUCCAUCUAGCGUCAUCAUAUAAAUUUCACGUACGGUAUUGCCGUGAAACAUUUUAUCGUACAGCCGGCACCCAGAACGAAACGAAGUGUGCCCACACUCGGAUUCAAACCCAGAACGUUAACGAAGCGAACACGCUAUCAUCUACGCUAUCACCUGAACAGAUAGGUGUUUGUUACAUCGAAGCAGCGUGCGUGGACUGCGUUUCUCUCAGGAGCCUUCAGAUGCUCUGAUAAGCACCUUGAAAGCAAUAUAAGUUUAUAAUAACAUAAUGCGCUAUUAUGUAGUGCGCUAUUGUGUAGCGUUUUUUCGUCUGCCACAGAACAAAUCGCACUGCGACAUAUAAAUGACAACAGGCAUCUGACCAGACUAACACGUCUCAACUGUAACUCUGAAUAAGAGAUCAAAGGAGGCUUCCCACUGAGCAAACAGGAUGUUUCCUAGUGGGCAACUUGAUAAAAAUUGAGUUGUUUGUGCUCGUUUUCGUUGUGGCGAUGAAAGCCUCGGUAAGCUAUGUCGUGACAUAUCGACCCCAAGGACUUACUAUGAAAUUUUAGCACAAUAUACAUAAGCUUAUGUUAUAAGCUUCUCUCUUAGCUAUUACUAUCCCUGUUCAGCUAAUAGAUAUUCAUGCAAUCCGCCCAGAAUCCUACAGCCUAAGGUGCACGAUGUAUGUGCGAUGCACAAAGCAGGCAAGUGAAUCAAAGAAGGGAGUCUUUUUAAGACAAAUUGGUCAUUGACCAUGCCCGAUUCAACGCGGGUUGCUUAGUGGAACGUCCAUUUACGACGUUCGCGCGUCCUUGUGUAUCAUUCCUACGAACUGAUAUGUUCUAGACUUCAAGCUAGCGCCGGCUUCCUAUAAGAUUCGGCUUCAGCACUCACGAAAAUUACAAAAUUUAAACAUAUUAUCAUGGCUAGCUCUAUUUUGAACCAUCAGCAAAAACGAUAAUCGAUGAGAAGAACAUCUAGCUAGUAUUUCUCAGAUAAAAUAUGCAGCCAAGGCCUAAUCCACCAACUUGUUUGUGAGCUUUCAUAGAGUAUGGAUCGGGCAUUGGCAUUUCAUCUUUCAAUUAUUCACACAGAUGUGUAUGAAGAAGGUCGAUGUUUCGAAAGACAGAGGGUACGCCAGUGUAACCCAUUGAUGCGAAUCAGAAGCAUCUGAAGAGCAAUCUGCGAGCAUUUCGAAGAAUCCGCACAGCGAACACAGAUAUAUAGACGAUAGUUCUUUAUCGUCAUGUCCCGCCAACGAAACAAAACCGGCCUGUAACUAUACAAGUGGAUGGCGGGUGCUUCUGUAAUAUAAACGUGAUCUCUCUCUGCCUGAUUUAGUCGCAGGUAUCUUGCUUAAACUGAAUAAUGCAAGGACAUCGUAUUGAGCAGCAAAGAGGAACACAACUGAAACAGGUACAUGUCUGUUGAAUCCGUACAUGAACGGAAAUCCUGCUGAAGCUCGAUUUCGAAGUGAGCUAUUCUAUCGAGGAUUGGCGAAAACAUAUUCCGGAGCCAUUCCCGUAAAUAGGCUCAAUGCCAGGCCGAGGGAAUCGUAUCAUAAAUGUGUCGAUUGUGAAUUUGGAAUAUCAUUUCCGGAUCGUUUUCCGAUAUCGGCUGCGCUGGUCGAUUAGGAAAAGUGAGGUUCUCACAGGUCGUCUUAAGAAGAAAUAGCACUAUUGUUUCAUUUAUGGGCCUUCUGUGGUAUCUUUUACGCCUUGCUACGUCCUUUAAUAAACCAAUCGUUGAGCGGUCAUAAACGAUCCUUUUCAAUUAACUAUAGCUUCCCUAAUAGUUGAUCCGUUGACCGAUAAUCCAGCUCGUCUAAGUAGAUGUCAUAAGGACUAGCUAGAAACUAAAUAUAUCGAUAUAUCGACUAUCAUCGAAAUAUCCUUUAUGAUUCACGGAUUUCGUUGUUUCGCCUGAACAAAACGAACCUACCCAGCAGGUUUAUUAAAGUAUACAUACUCUGCUGCAUAAAGUCAUGCCUAAGCGUUUUUCUCUACUCUCGGUGUUUAAAAGUUUAUAUGUCAGUUGAAAAAUUAGAAUUUCAGUGAUCUCGUAGAUGUUUUAAAUUUGCACAUAAUUUAAGCAGAUCGAUCGGGAGGUAUUGCUGUUUGGCUUUUUGUUACUAAUUGACCUUCAAAUGUCGUUUGGCAUCCUAGGCCCGCACUAGGACGUCGAGGUUAGUCUUUUUGGGUUGCUGCCUUUUGUCGGCCAUUUACCAAGAAGGCCAUCAGGCUCCCAAUUUUUGGGACAGCUUGCGCCAUAUAAAAAUCGUUAAAAAAAUAGUGCUAUCAAUGGUCCGUGAAGCUAUAAAGGCACCUAAAUAAAAUAUACAGUUUAAGGUUUAGUUUAAAAAAAAUUAGCUAGAGAAAGAGAAAAAAGUGAAAGUGCCAACUUUUUCUUAAAUUAACAACUUAAGUGGAAAAAUCGGAUCUCUUUGUAUUUGCUAAGUAGAUAAGUAGUCCAUUUUGCCGAUGCGAGUUCAUAAUAGCGCUCGAAGUCGUUGCCGAAUCGUAGACUUGAUCAGAAACGAUAUGUGAUGCCUCUCGAUUAAUGUUAUGCCUUUUACGUGUUACUAAUUCAGUACUAAGCUAUUUUUAGAUACAAGCACGAUAACUUGGUACACGGACAUAAGGUGUAUACCUAGGUACAUAACUUCUUUGCUGGCCUGGUCAGUGUCACAAUUGGCCAUAAUAAUAGACCAUGUGCGAUAAGCUGCUUGACUCUAAGUUGCGUUAAAGUGAUCACUUUAUUUAGCACACACAUAUUAAGUUAUAAAAUGUUCAUCACUAGACUAUUCUAUACACGGAAAAAUAUAACUUGACACGUAUAUAAAAAAAGGUUUGAAGUCUUGCUAUAACAUGUUAUAAAUACUCUCUAUUAACAGGAUAAUUUACCUGAAGAUAAACCGAGGAUACAAACCAUUCUCAAAUAAAAAUUUCUCUAGGGAGACGAACAUCUUGGGGCGUUUCUAUCAAGGUCAUUUCGUCCCAGUUUAGGACCCAAUACAAUUUACAAUGAGUGGACAAAUCCCGGCCUAAAUCAUUUGUAGUUAGAGAAGUUUGCAUAGUAAUUUUCUAUCUUUUAUAAUCUGUAUCUAAUUUCCGGUCAAAAUAGUUUUUCU